AUUGAACGCUGGCGGCAGGCCUAACACAUGCAAGUCGAGCGGAGCGGUGGACGGGUGAGUAAUGCUUAGGAAUCUGCCUGGUAGUGGGGGAUAACGUCCGGAAAUGGGCGCCAAUACCGCAUACUAGCAGUCGAGCCUAGGUCGGAUUGGGUAGUUGGUGGGGUAAUGGCCUACAAAGGCGACGAUCCGUAACUGGCCUGAGAGGAUGAUCGGUCACACUGGAACUAGGACACGGUCAGAACUCCUACGGGGGGCAGAGGUGGGAAAUGUUGGACAAGGGGCGAAGGCCUGAGCCAGCCAUGCCGCGGGUGUGAGGAAGGUCUUCGGAUUGUAAAGCACGUUAAGUUGGGAGGCGUUACCGGCAGAGUAAGCACCGGCUAACUACGUGCCAGCAGCCGCGGUAAUUC
rnacentral:rRNA from 1 species